CAGUAGCCGCGGUAAUACGAACCGUGCGAACGUUAUUCGGAAUCACUGGGCUUAAAGCGCGUGUAGGCGGGCCGGCACGUCGGUCGUUGAAAUCCCCCGGCUCAACCGGGGAAGUGGCGCCGAUACGACCGGCCUGGAGGAACGUAGGGGGAGCUGGAACUUCCGGUGGAGCGGUGAAAUGCGUUGAGAUCGGAAGGAACGCCCGUGGCGAAAGCGAGCUCCUGGAUGUUUUCUGACGCUGAGACGCGAAAGCCAGGGGAGCGAACGGGAUUAGAUACCCGGGUAGUCCCUGUCUCUUAUA
rnacentral:rRNA from 1 species